GCUUAAUUUAAAGCCCUUUCCGCCUACACCGAAAAAAAGUCCGUUAAACCCGAACUACUUCAAGCUAAAAAUCUAGCCCACACCUUUCCGCCACACUCUUAACAAUAGCUUAAAAUAUUUUAACAUUUAAGUAAGGACGACCAAAAAAUUAACAGGAGCUAUACAAAAGUACCGCAAGGGAAAGAUGAAAUAUUAAUGAAACACAGCAAGCACAAAAAAGUAAAGAUUACAACUUGUACCUUUUGCAUCAUGGUUUAACUAGUAUAACCAAGCAAAAAGAUUUUUAGUUUGCCUCCCCGAAACUGAAUGAGCUACUUCAGGGCAGCUUACCGAGCCAACCCGUCCCUGUUGCAAGAGGGUGGGAAGACCCUGCAGUAGAGGUAAUAAGCCUAACGAAUUCAGUGAUAGCUGGUUCCUCAGGAAAAGAAUUUUAGUCCAACCUAAAGCCACAAAAUAAAUUAAAUUAAUAACUUUAGAGCAAUUCAAAUAAGGUACAGCCUGUUUGAUAUAGGACACAACCUCGAACAACGGCUAAUUUAUUAUAAUCUAAGUUAAGUGGG
rnacentral:rRNA from 1 species